UAUUUGACCCAAAAUUUGUGGAAAUUGAAAGCUAGAGAGGCCAUUAAGUCAUUUCUAUAACAUCCUCACAUUUUCUUGAGAGUAAGGGAGAAAUCCAAUUAUCAAAACAAUGCAAAAGGAGAGCGAAGCUUGUUUGCGAUCGAUGUGGGAUGUUGCUGUUGUUCAUUGUUUUGUUGAUAUUGUUGAUGUUGUAUGCUACUAGUGUUACGGAGAAGAGAGGGUUAUUACGUGGAUUCAUAUGAUAUUAAUGAGUAAUAUAUAUAUGGUAUUAUAAUAA
rnacentral:lncRNA from 1 species